rnacentral:rRNA from 1 species
CCGCGGUAAGACGAAGGAUGCAAGCGUUAUCCGGAUUCAUUGGGUUUAAAGGGUGCGUAGGCGGACCUGUAAGUCAGUGGUGAAAUCUCUUUGCUUAACAAAGAAACUGCCAUUGAUACUGCAAGUCUAGAGUAUAGAUGACGUUGGCGGAAUAUGACAUGUAGUGGUGAAAUACUUAGAUAUGUCAUAGAACACCGAUUGCGAAGGCAGCUAACGAAACUAUAACUGACGCUGAGGCACGAAAGUGCGG